GACGAACGCUGGCGGCGUGCCUAAUACAUGCAAGUCGAACGCAGUGGGGACGGGUGAGUAACACGUGGGUAACCUCCCAUCAGAGGGGAUAACACUUGGAAACAGGUGCUAAAACGAUACUGAUGGAUGGACCCGCGGUGCAUUAGCUAGUUGGUGAGGUAACGGCGCACCAAGGCCACGAUUCAUAGCCGGUCUGAGAGGGUGAUCGGCCACACUGGUACUAAGACACGGCCCAUCCUCCUACGGGAGGCAACAGGAGUGAAACUUCGGAAAUAGACGAAAGUCUGACCGAGCAACGCCGUGUGAGUGAAGAAGGUUUUCGGAUCGUAAAACUCUGUUGUUAGAGAAGCGGUAUCUAACCAGAAAGCCACGGCUAACUACGUGCCAGCAGCCGCGGUAAUAC
rnacentral:rRNA from 1 species